GCAAGUCGAACGGUAACAGGCUAGCUUGCUAGUGCUGACGAGUGGCGGACGGGUGAGUAACGCGUAGGAAUCUGCCUAGUAGUGGGGGAUAGCCCGGAGAAAUCCGGAUUAACACCGCAUACGCCCUACGGGGGAAAACAAGGGAUCUUCGGACCUUGUGCUAUUAGAUGAGCCUGCGUUAGAUUAGCUGGUUGGUGAGGUAAGAGCUCACCAAGGCGACGAUCUAUAGCUGGUCUGAGAGGAUGAUC
rnacentral:rRNA from 1 species